UGGCAUAGUACUUUAAACAUGCUUGUAUGACUAUUCUUUAUUGUCACUCAGUAAAAAUAUUAAACAACCAUUUGUGAUUCUGUAAUUGGCAUUAGGAUGUAAAGUGUGCAUGACCAUGUGAUGUAAACCCCAAGAGUUGGUAGAAAAAGUGUUAACUCAUUGUCUGUGUGUACGAGUAUUUGUUAUAGUUCUUACAGAGUGAUACACCUAAAACUUGCCU
rnacentral:lncRNA from 1 species